rnacentral:rRNA from 1 species
UACGGAGGGUGCAAGCGUUGUCCGGAUUUAUUGGGUUUAAAGGGUGCGUAGGCGGUUCUUUAAGUCUGGGGUGAAAGCCCGUUGCUCAACAACGGAACUGCCCUGGAAACUGGAGGACUUGAGUACAGACGAGGGUGGCGGAAUGGAUGGUGUAGCGGUGAAAUGCAUAGAUACCAUCCAGAACCCCCGAUUGCGAAGGCAG